CAUGGCUCAGAUUGAACGCUGGCGGUAGGCUUAACACAUGCAAGUCGUGCGAGAAAGUACCUUCGGGUGCGAGUAGAGCGGCGGACGGGUGAGUAACGCGUAGGAAUCUACCUAGUAGAAGGGGAUAGCCCGGGGAAACUCGGAUUAAUACCGUAUACCUCCUUAGGGAGAAAGAGGGCUUAGCUUUGAUGCUCUCGCUAUUAGAUGAGCCUGCGUAAGAUUAGCUUGUUGGUGAGGUAAUGGCUCACCAAGGCGACGAUCUUUAGCUGGUCUGAGAGGACGAUCAGCCACAUUGGGACUGAGACACGGCCCAGACUCCUACGGGAGGCAGCAGUGGGGAAUAUUGGACAAUGGGCGCAAGCCUGAUCCAGCCAUACCGCGUGUGUGAAGAAGGCUUUCGGGUUGUAAAGCACUUUAAGUAAGGAGAAAAAGAUUGUAGUUAAUACCUGCAAUCCGUGAUGUUACUUACAGAAUAAGGACCGGCUAAUUCCGUGCCAGCAGCCGCGGUAAUACGGAAGGUCCAAGCGUUAAUCGGAAUUACUGGGCGUAAAGCGCGCGUAGGUGGUUUUUUAAGUUGGAUGUGAAAGCCCUGGGCUCAACCUAGGAACUGCAUCCAAAACUAGAUGACUAGAGUACGAAAGAGGGAAGUAGAAUUCACAGUGUAGCGGUGGAAUGCGUAGAUAUUGUGAAGAAUACCAAUGGCGAAGGCAGCUUCCUGGUUCUGUACUGACACUGAGGUGCGAAAGCGUGGGUAGCGAACAGGAUUAGAUACCCUGGUAGUCCACGCCGUAAACGAUGACAACUAGCUGUUGGGAGACAAGAUCUCUCAGUGGCGCAGCUAACGCUUUAAGUUGUCCGCCUGGGGAGUACGGCCGCAAGGUUAAAACUCAAAUGAAUUGACGGGGACCCGCACAAGCGGUGGAGCAUGUGGUUUAAUUCGAUGCAACGCGAAAAACCUAC
rnacentral:rRNA from 1 species